AUGGACAGACAGCUGGACAGAGCUCCUUUUUCCCUUUUUUUCUGCUUUUUGUUAGUUUUAGCUACCUGAGGCAAAGAAAUUCCCUGGACUGUGAUUUUUUCCUUUCCUUUUUCUUGGACCUGUUCAAGCCUGCUCUGGACUGAACACCCAGAAGAGCACCGGCAGCUCCACCUGUGGCCCCCCUGGCCGGGCCUGGGCCGCGGCGUUUCCAACACCAGAGACUGAUCAGAGACUGAGUGAGCCGAGCUGCAACCCAGAGAGGAGACUGUUCUGAGUUUGCUUUCUUUGGAGCAGUACUGUUCCUGUCUCUGUUGCCAGUAAUUCACUGCAAUUCUUACCAAAAGACAGCGAAUGGAAAGACAAAGCAGAUGGAUGCUGUGUACUCCCGAGUACAGACACCCAGAGCUAGAGCUGCACAAAAAUCCUCCACCUUGGUGAUACUCACACAGAUUUUCUCCUGACAGUUCUGACCACCCAAGACUUACACAGCCAAGGCCGGAAACACAAAUAGAGGAACAACAAAAGAAAAAUACAAUCCUAAAAUACCUGAGAAUUAAAAACAGGAAAUGAAGAGCUGAUUAUAGGUCAUUUUUUUUCUCUCCUUCAAAUUUUGCAAUAAAUAACAUGCUUUAGUAGUGCUACAUUAUUACUAUCUCCCAAUGAUUUUGUUUACAAUGCCUCUCAUUAUUACCCACUCUCUCAAUGUGCACUUUAAAAAUGUGAAUCACAUUACCAUGAUUGCAUUUGCAUUAAACACAUGGUUAGUUUUUUAAAAGUACAAAUGCUUGUAAUUUUAUGACACACCCGCAUGAAUUAUAAAAUGAUGCAUAAUAGAACUUUGCUUGAUUUCAUAAUUACCUGUUGUUAUCUUUGGCUAAUUAAAUAUUCAGCACUGCAUGUUAAUCCUGAAAGCCUCCCUGGCACCCUCUCUUCCCUUUUCAUGAUUUUUUUUAGUAUAUUCCAUUGAGUUACAACUUGUUUCAUGGAAUCUGUAGAAAGAAAAAUGUUCAACAGCUAUGGAUAUAUGCAAAUCUUCAAACAACCAUACUCAAAGUUAAAAGUGGAAAUUUCAAUAUGUACCUAUUAUUUCUGGCAGG